rnacentral:rRNA from 1 species
GUUAUAUAGUCAAAUUAUUAAGUGCACAUAACGGAUGCCUAGGCAAUAGAAGGCGAUGAAGGACGUAGUAGUCUGCGAUAAGCUUCGGUAAGCUGACAAACAAGCUUUGACCCGGAGAUUUCCGAAUGGGGAAACCCGGCCAUAAUGGUCAUCCAUAUCUGAAUUCAUAGGAUAUGGAAGCGAACCCAG